AUGAACCACAAAUUUAUACAAGCAUUAAAAUCACAAUUCGAUAAACACAAUAACAAACUAACCCGUAGGAUAGCGUAGGCGAUCGCAAAGUCCACAGUGGCCACUAGCACCGCUACGGUUGAGCAUGACUCUGCCGUUUCUUUUAUCCAUUCUUGGACCGACUUCAAAAGCUCAUUAUGCUCAUGAUGGUAGAACAGCUCAUCCUCUGUCUGAUCCUUGUUGUGGUGAAUGCCGUAAUGUGGUGGUUGUAUUGUAAGAUCGUAAAAAACAGUGGAAGCCAAAGCAAACUUCUAAACAGUGCACCUUCUCCUCUCUUGCAAAACCAAAAGUACUCAAACUAACAAUAGGUCUUAGUUCAAUAUUGAGCGUAUGUUUUGUGAGAGCAGUGGCUUAUGUUUUUAUACUAAACAUAGAUUGCCCUAUUACAAUCCUACAAGGAAUACAAGACCAAAUCCUUGUACAAGUAUGAGUUCUAUUCUCAAGCCAACAAUAGAGUUCCAAUCCAAACCAAAGUCGAAUUAACUCUUAUAAACACAUUAAGACCUCUUUAUACCAAUCUGAAAUAACAAUGAUUAUUACUAAACUGUGAGAAUCACACUCAUACUCUAACAUUCUCCCACUUGAGUAUGAUUCACAACAGUAAAUAAUCAUCUCAAAUUCAAUAUAAAGGUGAUCACAUAAGUCAUUUAUCAACACACUAGUACAUAGAUACAACCAGCUUACAUAAACCAAAACAAUGAAUUUAUAAUUGCCUCUGCAACACAAAAUACAGAUUUAACUUAUAAAUCACAAUGUCCAGUUCAUGUUCAUAUCAAUGUAUCUAAGCUCAAAAGUAAACCAAGAUGUCUACUCCCACUCAUAUAGCCACCAAAUCUUUUGGAUAACAAAAGCUUAACCUCACAUACAACUUACCCAUGCAUUUUAAAGUAUUGAAUUUAAGAAUUUUUUUUUCUGUUACAUCGCUGAAUUAACUCAAAAGUCACAACAUACUUAAUUUGCACUUUGUAAUUAUGUGAACCAAUAUAGCAAAAACCAAACCAAUUUGCUCCCACUUAUCUAGGCUAUACUUAACACAAACAAGUUAAGUAUAAGUUAAUAUCAACUGUAUUAACUAACAGUCAUUGCAAUACACUGAAUGUCUUAUCAAUGUGAUCAAUUGCCGCAACCAAUAUGCAAACAAAUUCCAUGAUCACAUUCAUCCAAUUUGUAUUUACAACAAUGUGAUUUUACUUGACCAGAACAAACACAUAAAUUGUUUUGCUCCCACUAUAUCAAGUUAAGUUUAGUUCCAGCAAAUAGCACUAAACUUCUCAUUACUUAAACAAAUUAAGUAACAUAAAUAAUUACCAAUUGCUUCAAUAAAACCAUAAUCUGGUUUUCAAGCAUCCAUAAGAAUUAUAAUGGCCGGCCUAAAUAACCUUAUGCUUACAUUCGAACAUAUGAUUCUCCCACUUAAGCAUAAGCAUAAUGUACUGCACAUCCAAUAAAGAAACCGGAGAUAUGAACCAAUUGAUUCCCGAUUCCUUACCAAUUGCAUAAUCUCAGUUUAGUCAAAUACACCUAAACCAUUAUGCAAACAGUCUAUGUAUCAAAAGAUAGUCACAAUCCAUUCGGAAAAACUUAUCUCACAUAAACCCAAAAUCACCAGUUUCAACAAUAAUCAAAAUCAGAAUAGCAAGCACAAUAUUCUUGCAUUCAAUUUGAUCCUAACUAGUUCAAUACCCAUCAAGCAAGAUCAACUAAAAUUUGAUAAUGUCUGGAUAUAAAGGCACAAGUCAUCUUGAUUAAAACAAGAUAAUCAAGAUGAACAUCCAGUAAAAUUUAGUGUACUUAUAGAUUUAAUACAUAAUAUCAAAUCUCUUACACUUACAAUAUAUCAAGUGAGAUGAGUUUCAGAAUACAUUCUUGCCAACAAGGUUUCACUAAACAAUUUAUAUCAUUUCAUACAGGUACUAACACAAGAGCCUUCACAUGUUUUUGGUUAUACAUUGCACAUAUUGGCAUUAACGAACCCAAAAAUUCCGAACUACAUCAUUCACAUAUAUAACACCCCCAAAACCUAUUAUAUAUAGUCUAACCAAAAUUGGGAUAUGAAUUACACUCAUAAUUUAAAAACGUCAUUAUGGAUACUCGUAUAAUCCAAUUUUUCUUUUCUAGAAUAAUUUAAACCAAUCAAACCCACAUAAAAGCCACAGGUAUUUGGUAGCAACAAUAAGUCAAAUUCUAUUAUCAUAAUUCAUAAUGGAAAAUCAUGAUGCAAGCUUCCAAGUUUCAAGCAAGUUAAUGAGAAAUCUUACAUCUGCUUGAGACUACAAAAUAGCAACAAAACAAUAUUUUCCACCCAAUCUAAUUACACAGGCUCUAACUCAAAAAUAGAAGAGCAAUGUGUACACCAAAUAUUAGUGUAAUGAAUCUUUAUGCAGAAAGAAUGAUUCCAGUCAUCUCACAUAAAUCAUAAGUUGGCAUCUAUAGGGAUUUCGAGUUUAAUUGUGCCUUCACAAUAAACAAGCAUACUCGGAAUAGCAAAAGCCCUAAUUCAUUAUGCUCCAACUCAUCGCACUAUAAUCACGCAUAUAGGAUAACAAUUAAUUAUGCAUGAAACAGUGAACUGAGUUACCUGAAUGCAUCAUUGGACUUGUAUUCGACAACCCAAUUGCAAUUCCUCGGCUCCAAAUCAACGAAACAAAUUAUCCAUUAAUGCUCAAGACCCAUCCAUACGGAUUGCCAUCAUUCCCAAUUCCCAUGGACCUCGUACCAUUGCAACAAUAGAAUGACAAACGAGUUAACGUCAACAUGAAGAACCAAAAUAAUAAUAUAAUCUCAAUAUGCAGAUAACAUGAUCUUUGUUCAAUAACACAAUUAGUAUAUCAGAAUACAAGUUUAUUCAUUAUGCUAAUAAUACAAGGAGGAUUAAUAAACCAAAAUUUAUCUCAAUCUACAAACAUCAUAACCAACUGCAGCGGAAGCAAUGUAUUCAAAAUCAAAAUUAUGAUGUUUAAAUAGAGAUAUAACUUAUUAAUUUGAUACAUAUAUCUUCAAUUAUGCAGGCGUGGGAAGAAAAUAUCCAACCCAGAUCGAGAAUCACAAGUUCUCACCUUGUUCAGACUGCUAACGGUCAAAAAUUUGAAAAGACAAAACCCUAUUCUUUGUCUUUUAAGCAGCCAACGGGCAUAAAUUAAACUUAAAGGAUAUGCUACAAAUGAUGUCGUAUUAGUUGUUCUUCGAAAACCAAAUAGACAGACUUGAUAUAAAAGACUUAGUUUGCUGCAACAUUGCAGAUUUUUAAGGGUACAUGUAGCAUGAUUUGUUUUGCAGGGAAGGGUACACAAGUGCAAACGAGGAUUCCAUGGACAUGGAAACAUGCUACUUCGACAGCUGCACAAACGAUGUACUACCGCAACGUUUUGAUCCCAAGGACAUGUAUCAGCAAUACAAGAUUAAUCUUCACAAAAACAUUAUAAAUGUGUCGGGUGGUUUUGUGGCCAGAUCAAUGUCCAAAGAUGGGUACAAUCCGGAGAUUUUUAAAAGAGACAAUAUUGACCGACUAAAUAAUUCGGCCCUUACAGCAACCCUAGAAAUUUCUUUGCAAACCAAGAUCAAUUCCGGCUAAACCAUCACGCCUAUUAUUGCUUUGAUUUUAAUACCGUCAAUUUGAAUUCAAGAGCAAAAACCUUAGGCUCUGAUACCACAUGUAAGACUAAACUUAUCCAAUUUAUAAGUUAAGAGAUUAAACUCAUGAACCACAAAUUUAUACAAGCAUUAAAAUCACAAUUCGAUAAACACAAUAACAAACUAACCCGUAGGAUAGCGUAGGCGAUCGCAAAGUCCACAGUGGCCACUAGCACCGCUACGGUUGAGCAUGACUCUGCCGUUUCUUUUAUCCAUUCUUGGACCGACUUCAAAAGCUCAUUAUGCUCAUAAUGGUAGAACAGCUCAUCCUCUGUCUGAUCCUUGUUGUGGUGAAUGCCGUAACGUGGUGGUUGUAUUGUAAGAUCGUAAAAAACAGUGGAAGCCAAAGCAAACUUCUAAACAGUGCACCUUCUCCUCUCUUGCAAAACCAAAAGUACUCAAACUAACAAUAGGUCUUAGUUCAAUAUUGAGCGUAUGUUUUGUGAGAGCAGUGGCUUAUGUUUUUAUACUAAACAUAGAUUGCCCUAUUACAAUCCUACAAGGAAUACAAGACCAAAUCCUUGUACAAGUAU
rnacentral:lncRNA from 1 species